GCCCUUCAGCAACUGUAGGAGCAGGCGUGGUGUUGUCGCUACUGUCAAAUCCUGGACCCGGCAGCCGACUUUUUCCUGACUUGGACAUGAGCAGCAGAAGCAAGGGAAGUUUCAAGACACACAGUAAAGUUUGCUUCAGUCCAGGGAUCACAGUGCACAAAACCCGAGCAUACUUCUGAGCUCUCCGUGAUGUUGAAAAAGAAUCUUCUUCAAGAAUGACCAAAUGCUUAACCUGCCUUGUGCCCAGCUCAGUGCAGAGAGAAGUUACUACACUGAACGAGAACUACAACCAGGAAGCAGUCUCCACCCUGAGAAGCAGCCAUUAGUACACAGAGGAAAGUGCUGUCAUCAGAACAAAAUGCACCCUCAUCUCUGAUGUCACAAACCACAUCACACUAAGCUCAAAUUAAUGCCUUGACUACUGUGUCUCUGCACGUAUGAUGCUGAAUCGCUGGCUUCGUUCCUUAGUCUCCACGUGUAAAACAGUUGGCUGUUGCUCGUGUUGCACAAGUACUUUAU
rnacentral:lncRNA from 1 species